ACUUUUGCUAGCGGCAGCUAUAAUGCAGUCGAACGGUAGAUUACUUUCGGGUAAUUGAGAGUGGCGCACGGGUGCGUAACGCGUAUGCAACCUACCCUAUACAGGGGGAUAGCCCGGAGAAAUCUGGAUUAAUACCCCAUGGUACCAAGUUGAGGCAUUUUGAUUUGGUUAAAGAUUCAUCGGUAUAGGAUGGGCAUGCGUCUGAUUAGCUAGUUGGCGGUGUAACGGACCACCAAGGCGACGAUCAGUAGGGGUUCUGAGAGGAAGGUCCCCCACACUGGCACUGAGAUACGGGCCAGACUCCUACGGGAGGCAGCAGUAGGGAAUAUUGGGCAAUGGACGAGAGUCUGACCCAGCCAUGCCGCGUGCAGGAAGACGGCGUUCUGCGUUGUAAACUGCUUUUAUCUGGGAAGAAAAGGCCCAUGCGUGGGACAUUGCCGGUACCAGAUGAAUAAGCACCGGCUAACUCCGUGCCAGCAGCCGCGGUAAUACGGAGGGUGCAAGCGUUGUCCGGAUUUAUUGGGUUUAAAGGGUGCGUAGGCGGCUAUUUAAGUCAGUGGUGAAAGACUCCGGCUCAACCGGGGCAGUGCCAUUGAUACUGGAUAGCUUGAGUAUUGGAGGGGUACAUGGAAUUGAUGGUGUAGCGGUGAAAUGCAUAGAUACCAUCAGGAACACCGAUAGCGAAGGCAUUGUACUGGCCAAUAACUGACGCUGAUGCACGAAAGCAUGGGGAGCGAACAGGAUUAGAUACCCUUGGUAGUC
rnacentral:rRNA from 2 species